rnacentral:rRNA from 1 species
CAGUAGCCGCGGUAACACGAAGGGUGCAAGCGUUAAUCGGAAUUACUAGGCGUAAAGCGCACGUAGGCGGCUUGGUAAGUUAGAGGUGAAAGCCUGGAGCUCAACUCCAGAAUUGCCUUUAAGACUGCCGAGCUAGCAGGUGAGAGAGGUAAGUGGAAUUCCGAGUGUAGAGGUGAAAUUCGUAGAUAUUCGGAAGAACACCAGUGGCGAAGGCGGCUUACUGGCUCAUACUGGACGCUGAGGUGCGAAAGCGUGGGGAGCAAGCAGGAUUAGAUACCCCUGUAGUCCCUGUCUCUUAUAA